GACAGAGGGUGCAAACGUUGUUCGGAAUUACUGGGCGUAAAGCGAGUGUAGGCGGUUUCCUAAGUCGGAUGUGAAAGCCCUGGGCUCAACCUAGGAAGUGCAUUCGAAACUGCGGGGCUGGAGUCCUGGAGAGGAAGGCGGAAUUCUCGGUGUAGAGGUGAAAUUCGUAGAUAUCGAGAGGAACACCGGUGGCGAAGGCGGCCUUCUGGACAGUGACUGACGCUGAGACGCGAAAGCGUGGGGAGCAAACAGG
rnacentral:rRNA from 1 species